CUCUUAUCCAGAGCGGUGGAGGGACCCGGCCCUGUGAAGCCGCGGCAACCGGUGGGCGCGUGCCCACGUCCGGUGCCAACUCCGGCCUGCGCAAGCGGGGGAGAUAAGAG
rnacentral:ncRNA from 2 species